rnacentral:rRNA from 2 species
CGUGGUGACGCGGAGGGAUCAUU